AGAGUUUGAUCCUGGCUCAGAUUGAACGCUGGCGACGUGCUUAACACAUGCAAGUCGUGCGAGAAAGUAGACUUCGGUCUAUGAGUAGAGCGGCGCACGGGUGAGUAACGCGUGGAUGAUCUACCCUUGAGUUCGGGAUAACGGUGCGAAAGCGCCGCUAAUACCGUAUAACAAUCCAUUUCAUCGUGGGUUCAAAGCAGGCCUCUUCAUGAAAGCUUGCGCUUGGGGAUGAGUCCGCGUCCCAUUAGCUUGUUGGCGGGGUAACGGCCCACCAAGGCUACGAUGGGUAGCUGGUCUGAGAGGAUGAUCAGCCACACUGGAACUGAAACACGGUCCAGACUCCUACGGGAGGCAGCAGUGGGGAAUAUUGCGCAAUGGGGGAAACCCUGACGCAGCGACGUCGUGUGAGGGAAGAAGGCCUUCGGGUCGUAAACCUCUGUCAGAAGGGAAGAACAUCCGGGAGUCG
rnacentral:rRNA from 1 species